AUAUUUUGACAUUUUAAACUGAAUUCUACUUAUUUAUUUAAAAUAAGAUUGUCCAUCAUUCAAAAUUCACCCCUACCCGUGCUGCAAGUUCAGAUCUGCAGAUGUAUAAAAUUUAUUUCUUUGUUUUGUUAUUGAUGUUUCGCGGAAUUUUACUAUGUAUCAUUACUGAACAUAUAGAGAGUCCCGAGAGUUUUCGGAUGACGAAAGUACAGAGUUAUCUUUUCUUGGGCGAAGAGAUUGGGUUUCUGCAGCAGACAGCGGUUUUAAUGGGAUAAAAACACUUUUUACCGAGUUUAUUAGGUAUAUUUGAGUGUGAACGUGUUUUUUGACAACAUUUGCAACAUUGUGUGGGAGGAUUUGCGUAACUUUUGUCAAGUAAGUUGUUUUUUUGACAUUGUUUACAAAUCGUGUCCUACUUUCGAUUCUUCCCUUGUGUAUUAUUUAUAUUAUAGAGAGUGUAGAGCGGAUACGAUGCCCCUGUGGUUAAAAUGGACAAGAAGGUGCUGUUGUAAAAUGGGGAAUUGAGAAGCAUUAAUAGCCUCUACAACAAGGAGAUAAUGCAGGAACGAAGAACUCAUGUCAAGCAUUGACAGCAUACAAAGUCAAUGUUUCCGGGGAUUAGUUGCAUCCUCUGUUCGGUGAUUCGGGUGAAUGUUUUGACCAGCUUGACGAUGUGAACGCAAGAUUAAUAGAACAGACAUAAAGUACAGCCCAGUGAAAGGAACAAGUUCAUCACAAGAAGAAGAAUUUUAAUGCUACCACUGUCAAGAACUACUAAGUCUGCUGUAACCAUGAUGUGAUCAUAUGAGUGCUUCACCGGUCUGGACAAUGCUCGAAAAUCCCCCCAAAAGGCCUAUUUCCAUAAAUUAAGACUCAGGUUACAUCAACAACAGCCAAGGACACUCCUUAUUGAUUCGAAUGGACCAUCUCUACGACCCGACUAAACCUCUGCAGAACAAGACUUUUUAACUGUAAAGUAUUCUUAUUUCAAAAAACCUAUAAACUAUAAAAGUACUUUUUUUAUAUGAUCAAAUACCAGUAUAUUACAAUGUCUGUCUGUAAGCUAGAAUCUUAGAAAAUCACAUGGUUUUGAAUUAUUAAAUGAUUGAUUAGACCUUGCAGAUAUGAACUUUCAUUUUCUUAAAUAAUUUGUUAUAUUUGCAAAUUUUGCAUAAAAUAUUAGACUCCAUGUAACAUAUAUCCUCCCACCUCCAAGUUAAUAAGUGUUAACUACUUUUUUUUCCCAUUUUCUUUGUUUAAACAUUUAUUGAUAACUUAGUUUUUAUUUGCAGCAAUAUAUGAAAAAUUAAGAAACCAAUCUUAAAUGUAAAAACACUGCAUUAGGAGAUGAAUGGAUGGGUCAUGGAAAUGAUAAAAUACACCAAACAAUAUUCAAUUAUGUCGUAUAUGAAAAUAUAUAAAGACAACAUAUACCCCAUAUAUUACAAUUUUUAGGCGGAAGCGCCUAUUGCAAUUGCUUUCAUGACCCUCUACGUCAAAGGUCAAAUUCCUGCCCUUUUUCGUGGUAAAUCUAUCGGAUGUUAUUUAAACUAAUGGCACACAACUCUCUAUCCCCCCCCCUCCCACUGUUUGACCCCCGUUUAAACAUCGUUUUUGAUAAUAGAACUGUGGUAUGUCUCUAAAUUUUUACUUCAUCGUUUUUGUGAUCGGCUUUAAUAAUCCAUUGAAAAUGCCUAUAGCAAAGAUAGCAAGUGGAAGAUCCAGGAGUUUACGUUUUUGAUAGUACAGGAACGAACGAUAACUAUUGCGAUGGUAUGCGACAUAAACAAAGGAUAAGCACGGAGUCGGAUGCCUGUAGAUGAAAUUGCGAGGGAAAAAAAUAGUUCAAUUUGAAAUUGCGUGUUUAUGAGUAUAGAAGGAAAAAUUGAUAGGGAAACAUGCAGGUGAUGAAUGCUCUUUAAAAAAAACAACGGUAUGUAUUAAUCUAUUUAAAAAAGAUUAUUAGAAUGAUACCAUGCCUAUAAAUUAUUUGUAAACAUACCAACGUUUCGCGUAGUAAUCUCAGACAAUACUGCAUAAUUAUGCAGUGUAAAAUUUUUGUCAACAAACCCACGUUGAGAACAACUGGUGACUGUCCAUCUUCGACAUAGUAAGGUAAGUUAGGUAACUAAUGUGUUAUUUCUUUGGAACGCCAAAUUAACAAAUAUUCAAAUAUUUGUACCUAUCUUCAAAUAAUUGUACCUAUCUUCAAUUAAUUGUACCUAUCUUCAAAUCAUUUGAAGAUAGGUACAAUUGAAUUAAAGAUAGGUACAAUUGAAUUGAAGAUAGGUGUAAAUAAUUAUACCUAUCUCUAAAUAAUUAUACCUGGGUACAGAUGAAUUAUACCUAGGUACAAAUGAAUUAUACCUAUCUUCAAUUCAAUUAAAGAUAGGUUCAAUUGAAUUAUACCUAUCUCUAAUUCAUUUGAAGAUAGGUAAAAUUCAUUUAAAGAUAGGUACAAUUGAUUUGAAGAUAGGUUCAAUUCAGACAUAUCUACAAAGGAUUUGAAGAUAGGUACAAUUCAAUUAUACCUAGGUUCAAUUCGUUUUGUGCAUUGUUGAAAAUAAUGAACGCUCCCUUGAAGACAUUUCAACAUGGAGGGAAACGAGCAACCAACGAAGAUGAAAGAAGAAAUAUAUAUGUGUAUGCAAUAUAUUUGCAAAAGGCAUCAUUAUUUAUUAAAACAUGUAUACCCGAAUACCCCAAAAGUGACGGAGUUUGGGUAGUGACGUAGUUAGGGUCACUAUAUAUACCUAUAUAAAUAAAAAACUGGAUUUAUUUUUUUUCCAUAAUUUUAUCAAAGAAUGUAUAAUUCAGUUGAUAAUCACUCUAUUUAUUAUUUAAAAGCGGUAACAAUUAUUAUGAGUUUUUGUUUGUUUUAAGGCUCAAUCUUUCAAAAAGUUGACAAAAUCAUAAUUAUAUAUUGCCUAUUUUAUCAUCCCGAUCCCGAUUUUAUUUCUAUGUCGCCUUUCUUCAAUCUUUUUUUUUCAUUUUCAUUAUUUAUAAAUAUAUGAAGGUGUUAAGCAGUAAUGUCACCUCUGAUUUUUCUUUUAUAGAUCUUUAGGACAUCCAUUUUUUAUUAUUAUCUUGUAUAUCGAAUGACUUUAUUCAUAAGUUGUGACGUAACGGAAAUGACGUACUACAUGUAUACAGGGAGUAUUCAUUAUUGCCAAUAUUUUAGUAAUUGAAGAUAGGUUCAAUUCAAUUGUACCUAUCUUUAAUUCAAUUGUACCUAUCUUCAAUUCAUUGCAUUUGUACCUAUCUUCAAAUCAAUUGUACCUAUCUUCAAAUGAAUUAAAGAUAGGUAUAAUUGAAUUGUACCUAUCUCUAAUUCAAUUUGAAGAUAGGUACAAUUGAAUUGAAGAUAGGUACAAUUGAAUUGAAGAUAGGUACAAUUGAAUUGAAGAUAGGUACAAUUAUUUGAAGAUAGGUACAAAUAUUUGAAUAUAUGUUAAUGUAACCAGGUAUAUAAUUUGUAUAUUAGAUUACAGCGCUAGCGUGUUUGAUUGGUAUACGUGUUUAGAGUGUAUGAUUGUAUGAGAGUUUAAUAUAUGUAACGUGGACAAUGACAAGACUGGACAAUAGGGUCACAUGACUAACUCUGCAUGCACCCUUCCCCGCCAAAAUCUUAUACCGGAAUGGCACUCUCCGCCUAGCCCUUGAACGGGUCAGAACUAUAGCUGUAUUUCAAUAUACUUAAGCAUAAGGAUUGUUUGUCCCGGUAAGACUUAAUGUAAUAAAUUAAAGUCAUUCUAAAUUGUAAUAUAACUGUUUCAUUUCGUUGUCUAAUGUGUAUGUUUGUCUGUGUCUAAUUGUCUUGUCAUUUGUGUCUAUUCUGUGUUAUUUGUUUAAUUACGAAAUUUCAGGUUUAUUAUGUAUUAAUAAAUAUAAAACAACGACCCAAGCUUGGCUUAUUUCGACCACUGGCUACAAAUGGCGCCCACGUAAUUUUCCAACGGACCGGGACAACAUCCAUUCCAUUUUACUUCAAUCCUCGGGGGACGGCUUAUCAAGUCCUGCACGAGCGGCAGCUGAAUAACAAGGACCGUGGCAGAAGCGGUAUCCAUAAAUACGACACCCUGCAUAGACCCAAAGAAGAGGUGAUUCUGUGUAUGUGUGUGUGUAAAUUAUUAUAUUAUAGAUAGUGGAGGAAAAGUGAGAGUUCUCUUUGCGUCAAGUAUUUCUGGUGAUGACGGGAACACGCACGGAUCUGGAGGCGCGGUAAUCUACGUCACUCAUUACUUGGUGAUUCCAUGGCGGGAAGACGCACGGAUCUCGAGGCGCGGUAAACCACGUGGCUGAUUCCUUCGAUACGCGAGGAAAUUCGAAAGCGACGAGGCCUCAGGACCGACAGGAGUCAGGUACUUUCAUUCUGAAAAUCAGUGUUUGUGUCUGUGAUUUGUCUAUUAUAUGUCAACUGUCUUGUCUUGAUUGUCAUUCGUUUGUGUUGUCAAAGUCUAUCUGUGUACGACUUAACAUUCUUAUUAGCGGGAAUUCCCAGGUUUAGUUUUAGAACUUCCGGAAACUAUAAACAGCUGAUCAUUUUGUUUGAAGUUUGUUUAUUUAUCAAAUCCUGUUAGAAUUAACACUAUUUCAUUUAGAAAUUGUUUAGUUUUUUUGUUAAAGAAAAGGAUCCUAUUAAUCUAUCAAUCUAUUUAUUUAUUUUAAAGGUUUAAAACUUUUGUUGACAUACAUAGGCCUAUAUCUGCAGAUCAAAUUUUUUCUUUUCUAAUUUUUUUUUCAUUGUGUUUACCUGGACUUGUUAAACUUUUGAUGUGUCUCAAUUGAAGUAAACUUUAGUAAAGAUAAACAUUCAUUUGCCCUUUAAACAAUUCCCCUUGCAUGACAUUCUAACAAUCACACAGAUUUGAGAAUUUUGACAGACAUUGAGCAGUUGAGGUUGUACACAAGUAUUAUUUUGUUUGAAUGUCUGUGUGUGCGUGAAUUAUUUCAUUGAAUAUUUCUAUUAUUGACGUGAAACAUGCGCUGCGUUUUAAUUAAGUGAUAUUAAUUGCCUUGAAUUGAACAGUGCUUUAAGAUAUUUUGAAUAAGAGAUAUACAUUUACGUGACUGGAACAUUGUGGUGAAAUUUUGUUGGUUUCACGGUGUAUUUGUUGGACAGGUGUUUAGUGUUGUCAGUUGUAAGAUGUCAAAAGUGGCUGAUCAAAUUAAAAUGUCAUUCGAAAAUGCUAAAGAUCAGGAAGGUGAUCAUGAAGGUUCUUUUCAUGAUGAAGACUACAAAUUAAACUUUGCAGGUUAUGUAAAUCCAAAUGCUAAAGUUGAAUCUGAAAUGCAGAAAACAAGUACCCCUGCAUCUGGUAAAGAACAAAACCCCUUGAACUUUCCCAAUGUUAAGACAACUCUGCCUAAAAUUAAAUUUCCACCUCCUCCAGUUAUCCCUUCUGACAUGAGAAAAGGUGAAUCAGUGGGAGGGGCUAAGUUUAAGACUUUUAAUGAUUUCCCCCCUCAGAGAGAUUACAGUGCUUACAAAGCAAGUCCAGAAGGUAAUGUUACUCAGUAUUAUAAAGUUACUCAUGCCCAGAUACCUAGAAUUCCCCAAUUUUCUGGUGAUGGUACUUAUAGAGAGUGGAAGUAUGAAGUACAAUGUCUUAUCAAUGACCCUGAGAUUAAAGAAACCACAAUCAUUCAGAGCAUUAGAAGAUCUCUUAGGGGUACAGCUAAAACUAUGCUCAUUCCUCUUGGUGAAAAAGCUACUGUCAUUGAAAUUCUAGACAAACUGAAAUUAGCAAUAUUGAGACCAAUACUAAUCAUGAGUUUUCUUCAUUUCAGAACUUCAGUGUUCCAGAACCUACCGGUACCUUGAAUCGGACAAUUAUUGAUAAUGAAAUCGAUGAAACGACAAGGUCAUCGGGUCGAGUAGAUGAUACCACUGUUGAACAGAGUACUAGGUUAUCAAACCGCAACUCUCGCGUUUUUCCGCGACGAACUGCCAGAAUUCGAAAGCCUCCUGAUCGCUAUGGAGACUGGACUAGGUAGUGUUUUUAUCCCGUAAACUGCUUUUAUGCUUCAUGAUUUUAUGAUGCAGUUUUCAGGUUUUUUAAAUUCAAUUCACUUAUCAUAUUUUAUGCCAACUCUCAGGGUAGAAAAAAAAUAUACCAUUAUAAAAAAGAAAAAAACAAGUUCCCUGAUUUUAAAAUUAAUCACUAUUAUUUUCUGAACUAUUUGAUGUGGAUGACUCUUAGUUUUUAAUGCCCUUGUUUUCUUAAUUUUAAGGGUCCCCAAUUUGCAUUUGUGUGUCAUGAUAUGAUGAUUAUCACCCAUUUAUUGUGUUGUUGGUCCUGCUCUGAUAUUAGUUGUAAAACUGUAGUAUUAGUGUUGUUGUGGGAUUUACAAUAUCUGAAGAGAAAGUUAUCUUCCUUGGGAGAUUCUAGUGUGUUCAGGGUGGUAAAUUGUUAUUUUGAUCUCGUGUUCAGUGUUUUUGAUGUUUCACCUUUGUGAUCAGACUGACUGAGGCAGCUGAAUCAUUUGGUGACAUGUGUAUUGGCUUAAUUUUGCAGAAUUUGAGUUUUCAUUGUUGUAUUGUUUUGCUAUAUUCUAUUAUGUUGAAAUUAUGUUGUUUUAUUUUAGUGUUAAAUCAUAUUUCCUCUUCAUGCACAAUGCAUUUGAGUUUAAUUUCGUGAAAUGUCAGGAGCCAUUUCAAUGAAGAGGGGGAAUAUGUAACCAGAUGAAUGUCAAGAAACUGAUUAACAUUAACUGACAAGAGGAGAAAAUGAGAGCCCAACAUCAUUCUUCAUCUCUGGUGAAGGGGAGAGUUUGGGCGCACAGCAAAACUCAAGCAAAACAAAGAAAAAGACGG